rnacentral:rRNA from 1 species
GCGAACGCUGGCGGCAGGCCUCACACCUGCAAGUCGAACGAACUCUUCGGAGUUAGUGGCGGACGGGUGAGUAACACGUGGGAACGUGCCUUUUGGUUCGGAAUAACUCAGGGAAACUUGUGCUAAUACCGAAUGUGCCCUUCGGGGGAAAGAUUUAUCGCCAUUAGAGCGGCCCGCGUCUGAUUAGCUAGUUGGUGAGGUAACGGCUCACCAAGGCGACGAUCAGUAGCUGGUCUGAGAGGAUGACCAGCCACACUGGGACUGAGACACGGCCCAGACUCCUACGGGAGGCAGCAGUGGGGAAUCUUGCGCAAUGGGCGAAAGCCUGACGCAGCCAUGCCGCGUGAAUGAUGAAGGUCUUAGGAUUGUAAAAUUCUUUCACCGGGGACGAUAAUGACGGUACCCGGAGAAGAAGCCCCGGCUAACUUCGUG